CCCCAGCGCCACAAGUGGGAACCACUUUUAUUGGGUCUAAAGCACCCGUAGCCGGAUCGUUAAAUGCUCUGUGAAAUCGUGGCGCCCAACGUCACGGCGUGCAGAGUAGACUGGCAAUCUUGAGACCGGGAGAGGCGUACGGUACUCCGUGGGGAGCGGUAAAAUGUGAUAAUCCACGGAUGACCACCGAUGGCGAAGGCAGUACGCUAGAACGGAUCUGACGGUGAGGGGUGAAAGCUAGGGGAGCGAUUGG
rnacentral:rRNA from 1 species